GACGAACGCUGGCGGCGUGCUUAACACAUGCAAGUCGAACGGAAAGGCCCUGCUUUUGUGGGGUGCUCGAGUGGCGAACGGGUGAGUAACACGUGAGUAACCUGCCCUUGACUUUGGGAUAACUUCAGGAAACUGGGGCUAAUACCGGAUAGGAGCUCCUGCUGCAUGGUGGGGGUUGGAAAGUUUCGGCGGUUGGGGAUGGACUCGCGGCUUAUCAGCUUGUUGGUGGGGUAGUGGCUUACCAAGGCUUUGACGGGUAGCUGGCCUGAGAGGGUGACCGGCCACAUUGGGACUGAGAUACGGCCCAGACUCCUACGGGAGGCAGCAGUGGGGAAUAUUGCACAAUGGGCGGAAGCCUGAUGCAGCAACGCCGCGUGCGGGAUGACGGCCUUCGGGUUGUAAACCGCUUUCGCCUGUGACGAAGCGUGAGUGACGGUAAUGGGUAAAGAAGCACCAGCUAACUACGUG
rnacentral:rRNA from 1 species